AGUGAACGCUGGCGGUAUGCCUAACACAUGCAAGUCGAACGGGAGCACAGGAAGAGCUUGCUCUUACGGGUGUCGAGUGGCGGACGGUUGAGGAAUACAUCGGAAUCUACUUUUUCGGGGGUGAUAACGCAGGGAAACUUACUCGGAUACCGCAUACGACCUACUGGGGAAAGCAGGGGUUCGUUUGGCUUGUCGCGAGGGAAUGAGCCGAGGUAGGAUUCGCUAGUUGGCGGGGUAAAGGCCCAGCAAGGCGACGAUCCGUAGCUGGUCUGAGAGGAUCAUCACCCACCCUGGCACUGAGACACGGUCCAGACUCCUACGGGAGGACGCAGUGCGGACUAUUGGGCAAUGGGCGCAAGCCUGAUCCAGCAAUACCGCGUGAGUGAAGAAGGACUUCGGGUUGUAAAGCCAUUUUGUUGGGAAAGAAAAGAAGCAGGUUAAUCCCCGGCUGUUAUGACGGUACCCAAAGAAUAAGCACCGGCUAACUUCGUG
rnacentral:rRNA from 1 species